GAUGAAGAACGUAGCGAAAUGCGAUAAGUAGUGUGAAUUGCAGAAUUCAGUGAAUCAUCGAAUCUUUGAACGCACAUUGCGCCCCUUGGUAUCCCGAGGGGCAUGCCUGUUCGAGCGUCAUUUCACCACUCAAGCCUGGCUUGGUGUUGGGCGACGUCCUCUUUGGGGACGCGCCUCGAAACGCUCGGCGGCGUGGCACCGGCUUUAAGCGUAGCAGAAUCUUUCGCUUUGGAAGUCGGGGCCCCGUCUGCCGGAAGACCUGCUCGCAAGGUUGACCUCGGAUCAGGCAGGGAUACCCGCUGAACUUAAGCAUAUCAAUAAGCAGGA
rnacentral:misc_RNA from 1 species